GAGUUUGAUCCUGGCUCAGGAUGAACGCUGGCGGCGUGCUUAACACAUGCAAGUCGAACGGAGCACCCCUGACGGAGUUUUCGGACAACGAAAGGGAAUGCUUAGUGGCGGACGGGUGAGUAACGCGUGAGUAACCUGCCUUGGAGUGGGGAAUAACAGCCGGAAACGGCUGCUAAUACCGCAUGAUGUAUCUGGAUCGCAUGGUUCUGGAUACCAAAGAUUUAUCGCUCUGAGAUGGACUCGCGUCUGAUUAGCUAGUUGGUGAGGUAACGGCUCACCAAGGCGACGAUCAGUAGCCGGACUGAGAGGUUGG
rnacentral:rRNA from 1 species